UUAAUUUUAGGUGAGAUCCUACACAAUUGCCUAACUUGGUUAAUGUAAACUUAAGAAUUAAGAGUUGAGCCACUACUAAUGUAAACUCAAGAAUCAAUAGUUUUAAACAACGAGUGGGGGUUUCAUUAUAGACACUCUUACGUACAUCUCACAUCACUGAAAGAUGUGAGUAAUGAGCAUAAAAUGGAUGAUCCACUUUGGACUGACAAGAGGUCUUGUGGGUCGGUUCGAACCCAUACAAAAAAAUAAAACUGUUAAGAGUACAUAAAUGACACAUGAGAUAAUAUUUUACUAAUGGAUGUCUCAGAGAGAUGGUAUCCUACUCUCAAUCAGAAGUGUAUGCCAAGCGAAUAAUAUCUUGCUAGCAGGGGUCUCAGAUAGUAUCAGAGCCAUUCCAAGUCCCAACCGAAAUAGUACGAAUCAACUCGAACAAUAUGUAACUAGUGGGCGGGUCAUUUCGGACACGCUCCGAAUAUUCGACCACUCAAUUCAAAUUUCAUAAUUCAUAGUUGUGGAAAAGAGAAGAGACUGAUGAAUCUAGUUCGGCAUUACAUAAAAAUAUUAGUUUCGUUGCAGUCAAGGGAAAAGGACAAUGGCAGCGGGACCCUGAGCAUGCAUUAUGAGAAUUUAAGUAAUUAAAGUAGCUGGUGGUUUCAUCUCUCAUGAAUGGUAAAAACGUGAAAGGCACCAAUCGAGCUCGUGAUCCAAG
rnacentral:lncRNA from 1 species